rfam:Aedes aegypti strain Liverpool supercont1.129 genomic scaffold, whole genome shotgun sequence.
GGCUCGGUAGCUUAAUUGGUAAAGCGCUCGUUCAGCUUACAAGAGUCUUGGGUCCAAAUCCCAGUCGAGCUC